CUCUGUGACUCCUACGGGAGGCAGCAGUGGGGAAUAUUGCACAAUGGGGGAAACCCUGAUGCAGCCAUGCCGCGUGUGUGAAGAAGGCCUUCGGGUUGUAAAGCACUUUCAGUAGGGAGGAAGGUAGUGUAGUUAACACCUGCACUAUUUGACGUUACCUACAGAAGAAGCACCGGCUAACUCCGUGCCAGCAGCCGCGGUAAUACGGAGGGUGCGAGCGUUAAUCGGAAUUACUGGGCGUAAAGCGCAUGCAGGCGGCCUGUUAAGUCAGAUGUGAAAGCCCGGGGCUUAACCUCGGAAUUGCAUUUGAAAACUGGCAGGCUAGAGUCUUGUAGAGGGGGUAGAAUUUCAGGUGUAGCGGUGAAAUGCGUAGAGAUCUGAAGGAAUACCAGUGGCGAAGGCGGCCCCCUGGACAAAGACUGACGCUCAGAUGCGAAAGCGUGGGGAGCAAACAGGAUUAGAUACCCUGGUAG
rnacentral:rRNA from 1 species